rnacentral:rRNA from 1 species
CCCUUAGAUGUCCGGGGCCGCACGCGCGCUACAAUGGAUGAAUCAACGCGUCAUCCUGGCCCGAAAGGGUUGGGGAACCGCUGAACCUCAUCCGCGGUUGGGAUUGGGGUUUGUAAUUAUUCCCCAUGAACUAGGAAUUCCCAGUAAGCGCGAGUCAUAAGCUCGCGUUGAUUACGUCCCUGCCCUUUGUACACACCGCCCGUCGCUACUACCGAUUGGAUGGUUUAGUGAGAUCCUCGGAUUGGUCACGGCACGGUGGCAACACUGCGUCGGUGUGCCGAGAAGACGAUCAAACUUGAUCAUCUAGAGGAAGUAAAAGUCGUAACA